GGAUGUCAUCAGAUAAAGCUAAUUAACUUUAAUUCCUUCUCAACUAGACGAAUUUGAUAUGUUUUAUCUGCAGUGUGCGCUUUUCCUUUUUCGCCACCAGAUGGCACAUGGAACUCUUCUAUUUUAGCUGUGUCAUUGUUACGUCUGGUAGUGAUGCAGUCACGUUAGAGAGCGGCAACCUCUGUUGUAUUCAAAUACGCUCUGCCUGGUAUGCUGCCCUCUACCGGUCAGGAAAUUCACUUGGAGGACUGUAAGUAAAAAUGAAGACAGGAAGCUGUAGCUUGCCCUUUAAGAAAAGGAUCUUGUCGCAUUGCCGCUUGUAUUCCU
rnacentral:lncRNA from 1 species